GAAUGUAUGGUGUAGUGGUUUGAGUGUUAGACUACAACUCUGGAGACAAGGGUUCAUUUCCCUGCUCAGUCA